UGAAUAAAACUAUUAUCUUAUCUUAUCUUCUUACCUAUUAGCAAUAGUCUGUGACACUUGAACACUUGAGGACAUUGCUCUCACCAAAAAAAAUCUUUUACCAGUAAAUUUUAUUCCAAUUAAUAAAUCUGGAUAAAACUUUAGAAUACAUACGUUCACGAUUUGAAUUGAUUUAUCAAUUUUUAAAGCGUUACUCAAUCCUCCACAAUUAUUUGGUAGUUAGUAGCCAUUACUCAAGCACAAGUCUGUGUCGAAUGUGGUCAUCACCCUCAGUAAAAACCUUAUCCAAUUGAAUUCCAUUAAUCUAAUCUAGAUACAUUUUUUCAAAUAGUAUUAUUUUAAAGCGUUCACAUUGUACAUAUGAUCAAUUACUAGCUUCAUUGAAAUCGGAUAACUAAUUUCACAGUACUUGAAUGUAUUCUUUUGUGUUAUGUUGUAGGUGUGAAGAGAGAAGUUUGUUGUGGUGGGGGGAGGGGACAGCUUGGUAUACUGAUUGCUGUAAUGGGAUGACAGCUUACAAGUAUGGUACUUGAGAGAUGGCUGAAUUUCUGAUCGAACGUAACAGCUCGGUGACAAGAAAGAACGAAGACCCCUCCAUUACACCUCAUAAAUGGGAUACAAUGACCUUGUGCGCCUUGUGACCUUGUGCUCCACAAGAUGAUACCAAAACAUAUUACACAGUGUAGAUGGACAGAUAGAAAGUGUGAACAUCAAAAGCCAUCGUGUGUGUUACCCAGUUUCCAUUCUGCAUCUAACAAUAGUAACCGAACAUCCAACAUCAUAACUUUAUUAUAUCAUCUAGUUAAUUUUGAUAUCACAUUAACUAAAAAGCUUUCCUCAUAAUAUACAAGAAAUUAAUACAUUGCCGAGAUUGUCAAAGAUGUGAAUUUUCAAUGUGCUUUGAUGCAAAUUAUUGCAAAAAACUAAUAUCAUGGUUAGCUAUGCAUAAAUUAAUAGGCAUGAUGGUCAUUCUUUACUGAAUCGAAAUAAGCUGUUAUAACUUUGUCAACUAUUAAUUUGGUUUUCAAUAAACUAGUUAUGAUCAGAUGCCUUAUUAAUAAAUGCAAAAUUCAUGUAGGUUAUGUAGCUUUUCUGCAAUAAACUAAAAUUACUCAAUAA